UGUCUGAUUAGCUAGUUGGUGAGGUAAAGGCUUACCAAGGCUUCGAUCAGUAGCUGGUCUGAGAGGACGACCAGCCACACUGGGACUGAGACACGGCCCAGACUCCUACGGGAGGCAGCAGUGGGGAAUUUUGGACAAUGGGGGAAACCCUGAUCCAGCCAUGCCGCGUGAGUGAAGAAGGCCUUCGGGUUGUAAAGCUCUUUCAGCCGGAACGAAACGGUCACGGCUAAUACCCGUGAUCACUGACGGUACCGGAAGAAGAAGCACCGGCUAACUACGUGCCAGCAGCCGCGGUAAUACGUAGGGUGCGAGCGUUAAUCGGAAUUACUGGGCGUAAAGCGUGCGCAGGCGGUUUUGUAAGUCAGAUGUGAAAUCCCCGGGCUCAACCUGGGAACUGCGUUUGA
rnacentral:rRNA from 1 species